CCGAGAUUCCCCCAGUAGCGGCGAGCGAACGGGGAGCAGCCCGGAGUCUGAAUCAGCUUGUGUGUUAGUGGAACGGUCUGGAAAGUCCGACGGUACAGGGUGAUAGUCCCGUACACGAAAAUGCACAGGUUGUGAACUCGAAGAGUAGGGCGGGACACGUGGUAUCCUGUCUGAAUAUGGGGGGACCAUCCUCCAAGGCUAAAUACUCCUGACUGACCGAUAGUGAACCAGUACCGUGAGGGAAAGGCGAAAAGAAC
rnacentral:rRNA from 1 species